AUUGGAGUUUUCUCUUCCCCAGUCCUAGAAUAGGGUAAGAUCUCCCCAAGGAGAAGCAGCAGAGAAUGGACAUUGUAGG
rnacentral:pre_miRNA from 13 species